rnacentral:lncRNA from 1 species
UCUUUUCUUAGGUUAGGGGUUGGAGGAAGGGUAGGGGACGCGAGCCUGCUUCCAUCUGACGCUGGACGCUUGUCCCUGCCCCGCGUUGCCUUUUAAAUUUUAGCUCAUUCCGAGACACCUGCCGUCAGACAUUUAUGCAGUGUGUGAUUCUUUCUAAAACAACUCCCUGGAAGAGAGGACAUUUAAUUCAACAAUUUAUUGGCCACCUACUGUGCACCAGGCAGUGAACUUGGAACUGGGGCUACUGGGUUACAGCAGUGACCAAGACAGAGGUCCCUGUUCUUAAGGAGCAAGUGAGGGCAACAGAAAAGAGCAGUCAGCUGUCAUGCGAGGGCACUCAAGCAGCCCUGUGGAAAGCUCUACGUGGUGAGAAACUGAAGCCUCCUGCCAACACCAACAAGGAACUGAGACCUACUUCCAACAGCCAUCUGAGUGAUCGAUCCAUCCUGGAAUCAGAUCCUCCAGCCCCAGUCAAGUCUUCAGAUGACUGCAGCCCUGACCAGCAUCUCAACUGCAACCUCGUGAAUGACCCUGAGCCAGAACCAUGCAACUAAACUCUGCGUGGAUUCAUGACCCACAGAAACUGUGAGAUGGUAGCUGUUUGCUUUGUUAAGCCUCUAAGUCUGGAAAGAAUGUCUUAAGCAGUAGCAGACAAUGAACACAAGAUUAUUAUUCAGCUGUUGAAUUGGAAGAGGAGGGGAAGAAAAAAUUUUCAGAUCACAAAAUAUUCAUUGUGUAAAACUUCAAAAAUUCUGAAAUUUAAGGAAAAAAUAUCAUUUGUUGGGAAUUUGUUGGGAUUCAUUGUCUCAGUGCCAAGAGACACCCACUCUUUUUUUUUUUUUGAGACAGAGUCCUGCUCUGUUGCCCAGGCUGAAGGGCAGUGGCACGAUCUCAGCUCACCACAACCUCUGCCUCCCGGGUUCAAGUGAUUCUCCUCCCUAAGCCUCCCAAGUGGCUGGGACUACAGGCAUGCAUCACCAUGCCCGGCUAAUUUUUGUAUUUUUAGUAGAGACGGGGUUUCACUAUGUUGGCCGGCUGAUCUCAAACUCUUGACCCCGUGAUCCGCCCGCAUCAGCCUCCCAAAGUGCCGGGAUUACAGGCAUGAGCCACUGCGCCCGGCCGAGACACUCACUCUUAACAUUUUGGUAUAUUUUUUCUCUCUGCACAUUUUUUAUCCAGCUGACUUUAUUUUGUCUCCUGAAAUCUUCAUUUUUAAAUUAUAGCUUCAGCAUUUAAGAAAAUGUGUCUAACAAAGUCUUCGCAAGCAUACAUUUUUCCCAUAGUUAGUAUACUUAGAAUUUAUUUGUCAAGCAAUUUUGAAGGGCUUUCACUAUGAAAAACUUUAGGGCUUAUUGAUAUUCUCUUUAAGUAGAAGUAUGUUUUUUAUUAUUACAAAAGUUAUAUAUGUAUA